GACGAACGCUGGCGGCAUGCCUAACACAUGCAAGUCGAACGGAGAUUAUUUCGGUAAUCUUAGUUGCGAACGGGUGCGUAACGCGUGGUCAACCUGCCCUCUAGAUGGUGACAGCAUCCCGUAAGUUGUGCUAAUACCGGAUAUUACAGCAAUAUCUCAUGAGGCUGCUGGGACAGAUGUCCUCUAUGUAUUAGCUAUCACUAGAGGAUGGGCCUGCGUCUGAUUAGCUAGUUGGUGGGGUAACGGCCUACCAAGGCGAUGAUCAGUAGCCGGUCUGAGAGGAUGGACCGGCCACAUGGGAACGGGACAAGGCUCAGGACUCCAAGGGGAGGAGGCAGGGGGGAAUCUUCGGAAAGGGGGGAAAGCUGAAGGAAGCAAGGCCGGGUGGUGAAGAAAGAACUCCUUCCGGAAAGAUUCUUUGUUUAGGAAGAAACUGCAGAUUGUGAAACAAGACCUGUAAUGACGGUAGUAAAAGAAAAAGCCACGGCUAACUACGUG
rnacentral:rRNA from 1 species